rnacentral:rRNA from 1 species
UUGACCUCGGAUCAGGUAGGGAUACCCGCUGAACUUAAGCAUAUCAAUAAGCGGAGGAAAAGAAACCAACAGGGAUUGCCUCAGUAACGGCGAGUGAAGCGGCAACAGCUCAAAUUUGAAAUCUGGUUCCCCUUGGAGCCCGAGUUGUAAUUUGUAGAAGAUGCUUUGAGUGUGGUUCCGGUCUAAGUUCCUUGGAACAGGACGUCAUAGAGGGUGAGAAUCCCGUACGUGACUGGGUGCCUUCGCUCGUGUAAAGCUCUUUCGACGAGUCGAGUUGUUUGGGAAUGCAGCUCAAAAUGGGUGGUAAAUUUCAUCUAAAGCUAAAUAUUGGCCAGAGACCGAUAGCGCACAAGUAGAGUGAUCGAAAGAUGAAAAGCACUUUGGAAAGAGAGUUAAACAGUACGUGAAAUUGUUGAAAGGGAAGCGCUUGUAACCAGACUUGCACGCUGUUGAUCAUCCGAGGUUUUCCCCGGUGCACUCGGCAGCGUUCAGGCCAGCAUCGGUUUUGGUGGGCGGAUAAAGGCCUUGGGAAUGUAGCUUCUUUCGGGGAGUGUUAUAGCCCUCGGUGCAAUGCGCCCUGCCGGGACCGAGGACCGCGCUCGGC